CCUGACUGCUAUUGGAGUGGGACUAAGUCACGCUAGUCAAAGGUGCGGAAUGGAGCACCUGGCGUACGGCUCAGUAACACGUAGUCAACCUACCCUAAGGACGAGGACAACCACGGGAAACUGUGGCUAAUACUCGAUAAGAAAUUUGGCCUGGAACGGUAUCUUUCACAAAACCGGCUCGCCGUGAGACACGGGCCUUAGGAUGGGGCUGCGGCCGAUUAUGCUAGAUGGCGGUGUAAAGGACCACCAUGGCUACGAUCGGUAUGGGCGAUGGAAGUCGGAGCCCAGAGUCGGCUACUGAGACAAGGAGCCGAGCUUUACGAAGCUUAGCGGUCGCGAAAACUCGCCAAUGCACGAAAGUGUGAGUGGGCUACUCCAAGUGUCAUUCUUACGGAUGACUGUCGCACAGUCUUACCAGCUGUGAAAGGAAGGAGAGGGCAAGGCUGGUGCCAGCCGCCGCGGUAAAACCAGCUCUUCGAGUGGUCAGGACGAAUAUUGGGUCUAAAGCGCUCGUAGCCGGACAAGUAGGUUCUUGGUUAAACCCGACAGCAUAACUGUUGGUCUGCUGGGAAUACCGCUAGUCUUGGAAGCGGGAGAGGACAGAGGUAGUCAUGGGGCAGGGGUGAAAUCCAGUGAUCCCAUGGCGACCACCGAUGGCGAAGGCAUCUGUCUGGAACGUAUUCGACGGUGAGGGGCGAAAGCUAGGGGAGCGACCCGGAUUAGAUACCCGGUUAGUCCUAGCCGUAAACGAUGCGGACUAGGUGUUACGUUGGCCAAGAGCCACUGUAGUGCCACAGCGAAGGCGUUAAGUCCGCCACCUGGGGAGUACGGAUGCAAGUCUGAAACUUAA
rnacentral:rRNA from 1 species